GACGAACGCUGGCGGCGUGCUUAACACAUGCAAGUCGAACGGAAGUAGCAAUACUUUAGUGGCGGACGGGUGAGUAACACGUAAGAAUCUGCCUCCAGGACGGGAAAAACAGUUGGAAACGACUGCUAAUUCCGGAUGAGCCGAAAGGUAAAAAGAAAUUCGCCUGGAGAUGAGCUUGCGGCUGAUUAGCUAGUUGGUAGGGUAAGAGCCUACCAAGGCGACGAUCAGUAGCUGGUCUGAGAGGAUGAGCAGCCACACUGGGACUGAGACACGGCCCAGACUCCUAUGGGAGGCAGCAGUGGGGAAUUUUCCGCAAUGGGCGAAAGCCUGACGGAGCAAGACCGCGUGGGGGAGGAAGGUUCUUGGAUUGUCAACCCCUUUUCUCAGGGAAGAAGAUCUGACGGUACCUGAGGAAUCAGCAUCGGCUAACUCCGUGCCAGCCGCCGCCGUAAGAC
rnacentral:rRNA from 1 species